rnacentral:lncRNA from 1 species
UCAUAGUCUGCCUCACCCCUCACAAACCCUAGCCAAGACGCCACCAAACCCCAUCACCUAAGGGUGGCGGCAACCUCUCCAAUCACUGCCAAAAUAACACCCCUAAACUAGCAGACCACCCCCGUUACGAAUCCAUGAACCGUUUGCCUCGAAUCAGCCUGGAACUUCUCGAAUCUUCAAUCGAAGGUUCGAGCCAAAAAUGGACUCCAUCCAAAUAAGCCUAAACUGAUACCAGAUAGUCUAUGGACCUCCCUCAUCUCGAGUCUGGGGCUAUUUCCCUUCGAAUCUCCUCAGGCUAUCCCUAAUUUCGAAUCUAGGGUUGCGAGUUUUUCUACCAUCUGAAGCUUCAGUCUCGGGGAAUUUUUAUUAAUAUUAUGAGUUUAUUUUGACAAAGAUAAACUCAUAGUAUUAAAUUAAAUUCAUUCCAUAAAUCAUUUAAGCUCGGGUAAAUCAGUAAGUCAUCCUCUCGUCUUUAGUAUUCGAUUUAGUUUGUCAUGCUAAGCAUGGUUCUAAUUUCUGAAGGGUUUUAAUUAAUAAUUUGUUUAUGAUAUAAUCAUGUCGAUUAGAUUGUUAGUGAUACAUGUUCUUAUUAGUUCUUAGUUUAAUUUUCAUUCUUGUUUGUUUAGUCUGUUUUGUUUUAUUUAGUUUUAGUUAGUCGAUCAUUAGUAUAAUUGAUUAGGUGUUAAUUCAGUGUUAAUGAUUAGUUUCAAUCAAAUCUUGUUUGAAUAUUGUCCUUGCUUGGACUUCAUGUUACUCGAUUAUGUGAUUAAUUAGGUAUUCAAUUAUAGGACUUGUUCUGUGAUUAGGCAGUUAAUUAAUUUCAAUUUAGUUAUUAGUAAAUGGAUGUUGUAUUAGAAAUCUUAGGAUGUAGUGUGGAUCUAGCUGAAGAUACUUUGUGUGAGCAGUAAUUUUAGGAGGUAUAAGGGGCAAUUUGGGCAUUGAAAAAGGGUAUUUUCUUUAGGAAUAGUAAUUUUUAAAACAGGGGAAGGGUGGUUUAGGGAUUGUCUUGCUCAAGGAGUGCCCUAGAGGCUUCUAGAAUAGGACUAGUGUGUAGUUUUCAAUAGACAUAGGGUAUUUACUUGAGUAGCAAGUCAUAAAAUAAGGGUUUUAAGCUGUAAAUAAUCAGGGACUGAGAGUGCAAGCCUAAAAUCUGAGGGCUGGCCUAUUUUGCUCCUAUGAAAGGGCACUAAUUGCCUUGAGAGGGGGGUCUUCAAUUCUUCAGCUCAAGAAAUCCCAUAAGAAAAAUCCAAUUCUUCAUUUUUAUUUCAGUUUUAGAUUAAUUUCUUCUUUCAAUUACUCAGAAAAUACAAAAACUGUGUAUGAACAGAAAUAGAUAACAACAAAAUUGACUGUUUCAUUGAUUUCUACUGCUGAUGUCUGGAACCUCUGAGAUUUGAAGUGAAUCUGGUUCAUUUGAGCUGAUUUGGGGGGAGGGGGGAGGGGGGGAGGGGUAUUUCGAUGGCUUCAUUUGAGCUGAUUUGGGGGGAGGGGGGAGUGGGGGAGGGGUAUUUCGAUGGCUGGUGUCUAUUGAUGUGGUUUCAAUUGGGUCAAAAUGGUUUCCUUCUGAUCACUCUCUGGCUAAUUUUACCGAAACAUUGCUGUUGUUGCACUCACAGUUGAACCUCACUCUUCUUUUCUGUUCUCUCGAAUUCCAGGUACCCAACUGUGACUUUGCAAAUUUGUAACUUGGAAACAUUGAAUAUGAAUGUGUGUGAGGAAUUGAAGUUCAAAUAUGUUUAUCUUCUCAAUUGAUGUGUAUUCUGGAGGUUUUUUUACGCAUUAACUUACUGUGGAUUGUUACAUAAUGUACAAAUGGACUUAUCUAGGACUUUGUUGUUAUUCUAUGUUCGAGUUUGUAGUAGAAAGAAGACAUGAUAACUUAAUGGAUUUUAGUAGUAGUUACAUGUAUUUGUCAAGUGUUAGGUUUGUUUAUGAGCUUGCUCAAAUGUCAGUAGCAUUUCUAGAAUUCAGGAUCGCAUGAACAUCAACUGAGCAAUGAUGGCAAUUUGCAGUUAACUACUAUAGUAGCCAUUUGGGUUAAAUUUGGUUGGAUUAUUAAAUAAUGCUGAAGUGUUAAAUAAUUAGCAUUUGUUAAAACGUAAAUUCUCCAUUGGUAACAAAUGGUUAUUCAUUAAGCGGAGGAAAUCUUAUUUAAAA